CCUACGGGAGGCUGCAGUGGGGAAUAUUGCACAAUGGGGGAAACCCUGAUGCAGCGACGCCGCGUGAGUGAAGAAGGAUCUCGGUAUGUAAAGCUUUAUUAGUAGGGAAGUAAAUGACGGUACCUGACUAAUAAGCCCCGGCUAACUACGUGCCAGCUGCAGUGGUAAUAUGUAGGGGGCAAGCGUUAUCCGGAUUUACUGGGUGUAAAGGGAGCGUAGACGGUCCGACAAGUCAGAAGUGAAAGGCCAGGGCUCAACCGUGGGACUGCAUUGGAAACGGGCGGGCUGGAGUGCAGGAGAGGUAGGCGGAAUUCGUGGUGUAGCGGUGAAAUGCGUAGAUAUUAGGAAGAACACCGAUGGCGAAGGCAGCUUACUGGACUGUAACUGACGUUGAGGCUCGAAAGCGUGGGGAGCAAACAGGAUUAGAUACCCCGGUAGUC
rnacentral:rRNA from 1 species